UGGGGAAUAUUGGGCAAUGGGCGAAAGCCUGACCCAGCAACGCCGCGUGAGUGAUGAAGGCCUUCGGGUUGUAAAACUCUUUGGACAGGGACGAAGAAAGUGACGGUACCAUAGGAGGAAGCCCCGGCUAACUACGUGCCAGCAGCCGCGGUAAUACGUAGGGGGCAAGCGUUGUCCGGAAUCACUGGGCGUAAAGGGUUCGCAGGCGGAAAUGCAAGUCAGUUGUGAAAGGCAGAGGCUCAACCUCUGUAAGCAAUUGAAACUGUAUUUCUUGAGAUGUGGAGAGGCAAGUGGAAUUCCUAGUGUAGCGGUGAAAUGCGUAGAUAUUAGGAAGAAUACCGGUGGCGAAGGCGACUUGCUGGACACAAACUGACGCUGAGGAACGAAAGCGUGGGUAGCAAACAGG
rnacentral:rRNA from 1 species